CAUGGAGUUUACAUUUCAGCGAGGAGACAGCCAUAAACAAGCAAAGAAGUAAUUCUCUCCAGACAAGGAUUUGUACCAUUACAUGAAGAAACUACAACAAUAACCACAGGCCCCAUGACAUCAUUACAUAUAAGGACAGCAGCUAUCAGACAAAGAAACCCACAUUUGAACCAGUGACUGUGAGAAGUGGGAUUCAAACUGGUGUGUUUGUCCCCCUUGAAAAGCAGGAAGAGGAAGGCGCUGGAGUGGUUUCUUUCAAAAUAAUAACAGAGCUUUCGUGACUAUUUCUGUGAGUGAGGUAAUGUCCCAAGUGCUUCAUGUGCAUUCUCUCAUUUAAUCAUUAAUAACAGAAGGAUUUUAUUAUCAUAUCUGCACUAUACAAAUGCUGAAAGAGAGACUCAUGGAGGUUCAAAC
rnacentral:lncRNA from 1 species